AGACUGUAUGGAAAGAAAGGUGACAGUUUCUCGUGAUGUGACGAAAAGACCAUUGGAAAAUGGUGUCGCUGAAAGCUAAGAAAAGGUUGACUUAUUUUACAAUAGGUACAUACUUUUUCAUGGGAGGAGUCGAAUAUGCUGUGAUCCUGCCCAGUGCCUGGUUGUACCUCCACAACCGCUUCAGUGCGGAGGAGUACUUCCUGGGUCUCAUGCUGUCCGCCUUCAGCUUCUCAGGGAUGUUUGCUGGGCCCCUGAUGGGCAGAUGGGCAGACAAGUCGCGCCGAGUGAGGGUUAUACUACUGUUUGCUGCACUGUUCGAAAUCGGAGGCAGCUUCAUGUACUUCAUAGGAAUGUCCAAGUGGUUCCUGGUUGCCAGUCGACUGGUUGCAGGUGUUGGCGUUGGCGGUGAGGCUGUGAUUUUGGCAGAGAUUGCCCGCUUCACCACAGAACAAGAGAGGACAUCGGUCAUCUCAAUACUAAUAGCUGUCCGUCAGUGUGGGCUGUUGCUAGGCCCUGGCUUCAACUUCUUCCUGUCACUGGUAGACUUCUACAUUGGACCAUUCCCAGUGGACAGGUUUUCAUCACCAGGGCUUCUUAUGGCCUUUAUGUGGGUGAUCAUGGAGCUGCUGUUGCUGCUUCUCUUCUCGGAACCGGGAGUGAUAUUCCGGCAGAUGCGUGUGAUGAAUCAAGUGGAGACAGCGUACACACCGCUGUCAGACGAAGAGGAGGAACAGUACACAGAGAUUCCCCCUCAAACCGUCACGUACGACGAUGUGUACCCAGACUUGACUUGCAACACCCCCGCCAGUGCUAUCCCUACAGCCAUUCAGAGCACUGAGUGUGUUCCUAAUGGAGGUACAAGCACCGCGACACCAAACAUGUAUGGCUCUAUUGGCAACGCAUCAAUAUCCGAUAUAUCGGUAGCAAGCUACGGGUCUGUUGGUGAUGAAUCGCUAGGCACUGUAUCUAUUGGAAAUUCCUCUGAACUUAUUGAGUCUGCAGAAAGACUUAUGCAAAGUGACUCUUCGGGGGUCAGUGAGAAGGGCAAAGUAACAAGUCGACAGAACAGUCGCAGUAGAAAACUAAAAGCACUUUUAGAUUCCAAGGAACAUUCAGUGUUGCCAAGAAUAGAAAGUGUCUCCGAUGUGAAGGAUCCUUUCACCGAAGGAAGACUUAAGUUCUUAUAUGAUGAAUAUAUUCGAGAAGAAAUAGUUGUACUGUUAGGAUUACAGUUUAUAACUAUAUUUGCUCAGGUGACACUAGAGACUAUGUUAACUCCGUUGACAGACAAGUUGCUGCACUGGAAUGAACUUCAGAACAGCUUCCUGUACUGUGGGGCGGGCGUGGAGAUCAUCUUAAUAUUUGUACUGACAAGCUGGUUGAGUCGAAAGAUCGAAGAUCGUUAUUUGAUUGCGAUAGGCGGCUUCAUUCUGACGUCUGCCAACGUGUGGUACCUCUACUUCCUGCCUUCUUGUACCCCAGAUAACCCGGGCUGGACGUUACCAGGUUUUAUUGCUGGCACUAUCCUAGAUGUGGCCGGUCUGCCUUUCCUGUUGGUGUGUGGGGUGUCACUGUAUUCUAAACUCACACGCAAGGAAACACAGGGUUUGAGCCAGGGUAUACGACGUAGUGUGACGGGUAUUGGCACCAUCAUGGCGCCGCUGUGGGCGGGGUCUACCAUCUCCAUGCUGUACCUCAAUGUGGGGGUGCUAGUGGCUAUACUGUUUAUAUCACAGGUGAUGCUGUGGUUGUCCUUCAAGAGGCUGAAGCCUCCCCAGUCAGCUCCCUCACCCCCACCAGCAUCCAACCCUGGAGACAUCGCCACGGAGAGGCAGCCAUUGAUUGGAUGAACUCAUAUGUCAUGACUUGUCAGAGAUCUCAAGCCAUGCUACAGGGGUCACAACACUGUCACAGAAGCGGCCAUUAAUGGGAUGAAUUUAGAUCAGGGGUGUUCAAAUACCAAAAUUUCCCAUUUGUCGAAGGGCAAGUAAACUUCUGUUUGCCCAGUCUGAUUUUCAACUAACACUCCUACUAAAUCCUACUAUAAUAGUCUCAGGUGCCGUGAUUCGCUGUGGGAAUCCUAUGAUUGUGGGUUCGAAUCCCGGUUCGCCCUGAUUAUGUUUCUUGGUGUUGUCAGCACCAUAACCAUGCUCGUCGGUUUCACUAAAGUAGUAAGAGACCUUACUGAGACCUGCAUCACUUCGGGCUUUCCUCCCACAUUAAGCUGACAUGCCGCGAUAAAACUGGAAUAAUGUGCUAUAUUUAAUUGAGGUAUGACGAAAGGCCAUCAAUUAGCCAUCACUAAUGGGGGUAUGACCAACAGCUAUCGGUUAGCCAUAACUAUUAAUGGGGGUAUGACCAACAGCUAUCAAUGUGCUAUAUUUAAUUGAGGUAUGACGAAAGGCCAUCAAUUAGCCAUAACUAAUGGGGGUAUGACUAACAGCUAUCAAUGUGCUAUAUUUAAUUGAGGUAUGACGAAAGGCCAUCAAUUAGCCAUAACUAAUGGGGUAUGACUAACAGCUAUCAAUUAGCCAAAACUAAUGGGGGUAUGACUAACAGCUAUCAAUAAGCUAUAACUAAUUGAGGUAUGACUUAACGGCUAUCAAUAAGCUAUAACUAAUGGGGGUAUGACUAACAGCUAUCAAUGUGCUAUAACUAAUUGAGGUAUGACGAAAGGCCAUCAAUUAGCCAUAACUAAUGGGGGUAUGACUAACAGCUAUCAAUGUGCUAUAACUAAUUGAGGUAUGACUUAACGGCUAUC
rnacentral:misc_RNA from 1 species